AACGAACGCUGGCGGCGUGGAUUAGGCAUGCAAGUCGAACGCGAAAGAGGGAGCAAUCCCUCGAGUAGAGUGGCGAACGGGUGAGUAACGCGUGAAGAACCUGCCUUCAACAGGGGGAUAACACUCCCAACGGGGUGCUAAUACCGCAUGAGACCACGGGUCUGCAUGGACCUGAGGUCAAAGGUGGCCUCUGCUUGCAAGCUACCGGUUGAAGAUGGCUUCGCGUCCCAUUAGCUAGCUGGCGGUGUAACGGACCACCAAGGCGACGAUGGGUAGCUGGUCUGAGAGGAUGGUCAGCCACACUGGGACUGAGAUACGGCUCAGACUCCUACGGGAGGCAGCAGUCGAGAGGCUUCGGCAAUGGGGAAACCCUGACCGAGCGACGCCGCGUGGAGGAUGAAGGCCCUUGGGUUGUAAACUCCUUUUGUUGGGAAGAAAUGCGAUCAGGUAAACAAUCUGGUCGUUUGACGGUACCC
rnacentral:rRNA from 1 species